UCCGCAGGACAAGAAAGCUGGUGCUAGUGUCUCUGUUCUAAAUGUGUCGAACAUGAUCUUCAUGGUCUUCUUGUUUUGUUUCCUUCACCUGCCAGGAAACACCGCAGGAGCCUCUGACAGCAAACGUGUCGACCAAACACCUCCGUUCAUCACAAAGAGAACUGGUCAAUCUGUUGACAGUGAGAUCAACUGUGCACACAGCAUAACAAAUUAUGAGCUGAUUCUCUGGUACAAACAAGACGAACACAAGUUAAAGUUCCUGGGAUAUCUAAAUCUGGAUAACCCAUACCCUGAGGACGACGUGAAGGGGAAAAUCAGCUUUAAAGGAGACGGCCGCAAACACUCAAACCUCACCAUUUCUAAUGUUUCACUGAAUGACAGUGGUUUGUAUUUCUGUGCUGCCAGUUACCACAGUGCUGCAGAUUCUCCUCAAGUCAAUACAAAAACCUUCAAGUCAAUACCCAACCCCAGACACACAAGACUUUCAGGCCCCUGAACACCUGCAGCCAGCCUCCAUCUAAACCAGGCCUUUGA